rnacentral:hammerhead_ribozyme from 1 species
AUCCAGCUGACCAGCAGUCCCAAAUAGAAAGAAACGCGCGUCCUGGAU